UAUCACUAAGCGGAGGAAAAGAAACUAACCAGGAUUCCCCUAGUAACGGCGAGUGAAGAGGGAAGAGCCCAGCACCGAAGCCUGCGGUAGCUUUACUGUUAGGCAAUGUGGUGUUUGGGUCGGCUCGCGGGAUUGCCACUCCACUCGAAGUCCAGCAUUGAGUAUGGUUUCUGGAUUUGGCCCAGAGAGGGUGAAAGGCCCGUACGGGUGGAGGUAUCAGACAAGUGAGGCAAUUCACUAGGCCGGCCUUAGAGUCGGGUUGUUUGGGAAUGCAGCCCAAAGUGGGUGGUAAACUCCAUCCAAGGCUAAAUACUAGCACGAGUCCGAUAGCAAACAAGUACCGUGAGGGAAAGUUGAAAAGUACUUUGAAGAGAGAGUAAACAGUACGUGAAACCGCAUGCAGGUAAACGGGUGGCGUCAAGCUGCACGCCCAGAGGAUUCAGCCGGUUAGAGUGUAGUUAUGCGCUUGCGUGUCAACAGGCCAGAGUAAGGCGUGGUAGACCGCUGGAAGACAGUGGGCCCUGCCGCAAGGUGGGGAUGUGUUUAGCCGGGUGGACGCCGGAGCACGCUAUCCGUCUGUUGGGCCAUCUAGCCGGUGCACUUUCUCUGUGGUGGACACCACGACCGGUGGGACUGCCAGUCUGCUAUGGUCAAGUCGUAUUCGGUUGGUCCUUGUGGCUAACUGGGUGCGAUCACGGGCAAACUUGGUGAACGGCGUUGACGUGCUCUCUUGAGGGUGUGUCUUCGUGUUAUCGGUAACCAGUUGUCUUAACGGGCCUGCCUUACGAUUGUUCUAGCCGUCGUAGGGUGGUCUGGUGGACCAUGGUGGUAAGAAUAACUGUGCAGGGCACCGGAGUUUUCGGCCUCAAAUGCAGCCAGCAUGCACGCUAGUAGUGUGUUGCCAAUAUGGGUGCUCUCGUGGUCUGCCUGGUGCCGGGUCUGAUUGUCGUGUUGCCUACGCAAAGUGGGUUCGGCAGUGGCUCGGUUCAUGGUUGGGCUUGCGUUGGGUGCUCAGAGUGCUGGUUGUAGUGGGCCUGAUAGUCUGUGGUGUAGUGGUAGACGAGCUACCCGACCCGUCUUGAAACACGGACCAAGGAGUUUAACAUGUAUGCAAGUCACUGGGUCCUACGAAACCCAAAGGCGCAAUGAAAGUAAAGCCCUGUGAUCGCGUUUUUAUUAAUGUGGUCCGGGGUGAGGUGAGAUCCUACCGUGACUCCGCCAGCCUAUUCGGUCAGAAGCAGGCAUACCGCGCGGUGGGCGCAUCACCGGCCCGUCCCAUGAUGUGGUCAUUGGAAAAGGCUGUGGCUAACUGCUAUUUCGGUAGUUGUUUGGCCGCGGUACUCCCAGUGCGUCAUCGGGGCGGAGCAUGAGCAUACACGUUGAGACCCGAAAGAUGGUGAACUAUGCUUGCGUAGGUUGAAGCCAGAGGAAACUCUGGUGGAGGACCGCAGCGAUUCUGACGUGCAAAUCGAUCGUCAAACGUGAGUAUAGGGGCGAAAGACUAAUCGAACCAUCUAGUAGCUGGUUCCCUCCGAAGUUUCCCUCAGGAUAGC
rnacentral:rRNA from 2 species